CUCAAUAGAGACUCACGCAAUUUCCAACUUUGUUCACAGAUAUUCUGGCUCAGCCAAACAUCUCCUUCUCCCCCCACAUUGACGGGUUGUCUGAGAACAAGCAGCUUCAGGUGCUGCUGGGCUCCAGCUUCACCAUCAGCUGCUCCAUCCUGCCCCAGCAUCCAGGAGGCUCUUUCCAGCUUAUUUUGACCAACUCGGCAACAUCGCAGAACUACACCCUGCCAGCUGUCAAUCACUCUGCCCACUUCCUGUGCUCUGCCGCAGACCACACCCACCAAGGGGACUACAGCUGUGUUUAUCACGUCUAUGCUUUCUCCCAUGAAUUCUCCUCUGAGAGCCGCCAUCUCUAUGUUGCUGUCGCAGCCUCUUUAACAGAUCUGAUCAUCAGGCUGGCACUCGUAGUGCUGAUGGUGGCGUUCAGUGUUGCCAUGUUUUUCUACUACAAGGCCAGCAGAAAGCAGAUGCUGAGACGAGAGGACAACAUAGAGCUUGAUUACCUUGGUGGUGCUAAAGACAGGCAGGGUGGAGCAGAAGAGGCAGGAGUCGAGGGGCCAUAGUGUCACACAUCCAGGUUUUCCAGGAGAGGACUCAGUACUGGGGUCAGAAGAGGUAUAUGUGAAUUUAACAAAACAAAAGUUUGACAGACGUUUAAACAUUUGUAAAUGACAAUGUGCUUUUCCAGUUGUAUUCUUAUACUUCAAAUUCUUGCACUGACUGAUUAAAGAGAUAAUGCAGUGAGUGAAACGUAACAUCUUGUUGUGUGAUAUUGUUUCCACCAAAGUUACAUUUACAUUAUUAAAGUGUGUUAUUUGACAUAUGACGGCAAUUUAUGAGCUGACAUGCAGCUUUUUUUUCCACAUGCAGUUGUACUCCUGCAAAGAUAAAGAUAAUUGUUGUGAAUGUUUUGAAAUGAGGAUUUUACUGUCUGUGAUCUGCAUCUGGUGACAUCUGCUUAAAUAUACUCUAUACUUAAUCUGUAAACAAGUAGAAAGUGAUGAAAUUUGUUUUACAAUAAAUUAAACCUGCAUUGACUGGAAUGUGUGGAUGGUUUUGUUGUUAUUAUAAUUUGUUUUUUUAGCGAGCAGGAACUCUAGUUAGAAGUGUUUCUGGAUUGAUUCUCUUCUCUUGGACCACCUCGGUGUUAACGGGAAGAAGUCAGCACUUUUUUGACAAGAAAAACAGACAUUGUUGACGAGACGUUACCGACUGGAAGAGCAGCAAACAAGAAUAAAAGCAAACUGUCUACGUGACAAUCAAACAAGCAGACGGAGGUGAAAUCGUGCUGUGUGUUUUUAUAAAAGCUGCCGUAACUGAUUUCUUUGCCACUUUGAGAAAACCUGACAUAUUAUCAACGUUGAAACUUUUUAUGGUGAAUGUGUUUUGCAAACAACUGCCUAUUUACACAUCCAGCAGAAAUAAAAACAACAUUAUCUUUCAUUUUGAGUCUUGUUUUCGGAAUUUAGAGUGCAGGGUUGAUGCCUUAAACCAGACCUAGGUCCAGGGGCCGAUUGUGGCCCUUUAACAACCUGAUUCUGGCCCUUUAAUAAUUUUGUUAGCAGACUCAUUAGUCCAUCCAUUAGUUAUAUCUGUUGCUACACAAAAAAUCCCUCUUAC
rnacentral:lncRNA from 1 species